rnacentral:rRNA from 1 species
AGAGUUUGAUCCUGGCUCAGGAUGAACGCUGGCGGCGUGCUUAACACAUGCAAGUCGAACGGGAAACCUUUUAUUGAAGCUUCGGCAGAUUUAGCUGGUUUCUAGUGGCGGACGGGUGAGUAACGCGUGGGUAACCUGCCUUAUACAGGGGGAUAACAGUCAGAAAUGGCUGCUAAUACCGCAUAAGCGCACAGAGCUGCAUGGCUCAGUGUGAAAAACUCCGGUGGUAUAAGAUGGACCCGCGUUGGAUUAGCUAGUUGGUGGGGUAACGGCCUACCAAGGCGACGAUCCAUAGCCGGCCUGAGAGGGUGAACGGCCACAUUGGGACUGAGACACGGCCCAGACUCCUACGGGAGGCAGCAGUGGGGAAUAUUGCACAAUGGGGGAAACCCUGAUGCAGCGACGCCGCGUGAGUGAAGAAGUAUUUCGGUAUGUAAAGCUCUAUCAGCAGGGAAGAAAAUGACGGUACCUGACUAAGAAGCCCCGGCUAACUACGUGCCAGCAGCCGCGGUAAUACGUAGGGGGCAAGCGUUAUCCGGAUUUACUGGGUGUAAAGGGAGCGUAGACGGUGUGGCAAGUCUGAUGUGAAAGGCAUGGGCUCAACCUGUGGACUGCAUUGGAAACUGUCAUACUUGAGUGCCGGAGGGGUAAGCGGAAUUCCUAGUGUAGCGGUGAAAUGCGUAGAUAUUAGGAGGAACACCAGUGGCGAAGGCGGCUUACUGGACGGUAACUGACGUUGAGGCUCGAAAGCGUGGGGAGCAAACAGGAUUAGAUACCCUGGUAGUCCACGCC